UCUCGCGUGGUAGUCGUCCGGCGGUGCGACGGCGCCACGGCCGCGUCCGGCUCCUUCUCGGCCACGACCCUGAGUGACGACGAACCGGUUCGCCGCCGGUAAAAGGGUCGAAUUUCGAUCGACAUUUUUUCCCAUUCGGCGUCCGACCCGCGGGGGAGUCACGUGGUGCAGCAGCUGUAAGUGGAUGCAGAUCGAAAGCCGCAGGUCGACGGGGACGAUCGCACCGCCAGAUGGCACUGGUGUAGAGUGGACUGUGAAGGGGUACCUAUGACUACGACAGGACUACGAUUCGGAAACGCUUUGGAAUGUGGAAAACACAUUUGUGUGAAAAACAAUGAACGUGUUCAAAUAAUAUAUCGAAAUGCCUUUAAUAUCACAUGCGAGAUUAUAGAAGAGGUCGACUCAAGGCGACGACAGCGGGAACAAACCAAUUUUUAUCUACCUACAUACAUAUAUAAGGUACCUAUAUUUUAAUAUAUUCCGUGCGUGAUCGCUAUAACAUUUAAAAAAAAAAAACGACAGUUGUUGUUUUGGGACACGGAAAACACAGGAAGUCUCUAAGUUGUGUGUGUGAGUU